GGUUUUUUUUUCUCCCCAUUUUUUAGCCUGACACGUGUCAGUUAAAUGUUUUCUUCUUAUGCCACCUGUUUCAUUGCGUGUCUACCUCAUUCAUUUCCCAUUUGGUUAAAAGUCUCCGGUUUAAUUUCCCAGAGAACAUCACAACACUGACGAUGAUCUAGGGUUUCUGUUUUGUUGCAAACGGCCGAUGGUGACGAUGGAGUUGUUUCCCACGCAGAUGUUAGCGGCGGCAAUAGUUUUGUUUUCGUUCAGUUGGUUAGACAGAGAAAGAGAGGGGCGAUGGAGAUGCUAAAGGUCGUCCGACCGUUCUGCUCCGGCGAACAAUGCAAAGGGCGAUGGUGCUGCUCUGAUUUUGUGGUUGUUUUGGUUUUUAGUGCUAGCCUUUUGACGACGGUGCUAAAAGAUCUGAUAAGGUGCACGAAGAGGCUAAUCUGAACGAUCUGACAACUAUCCUUUAUAUCAAACGUUAUAAAAGGUACUUUUCUAUUUUUUCCACUUAGUGUUUCUGAGUUUUUGGGUUUUACAGUCGAUCAGUGGUAACAUGUAGAGGUUUUAUAAGCAGGUAUGUUUAUCAUAAAUGUUUGAUCUUUGAUGUUUUGUGAACUUCAACUUGGGGAUUUUGUGGACGAAGUUGGAUUUUUGAUAAUUUCUUUUGUUUUGAUUUUCUGCGCCAUGGACGCUCCUCUCUCCUUCGGUUAUGUCGCUGCUGCUCUGGCGAUGUCCAGUCUCUUCCAGUUGGUGGGUUUGAGAAUAUUGUGAAGGUGAGUGUGGAGUUGGUGGUUGAUGCUGCGAACCUCGCGUCUACUAGCCGGCCGUUUGAGGUGGUGUACCACCCUCGCGCAAGCACGUUUGAGUUCUAUGUGAAAACGUCGACUGUAAAGGCAACAAUGCGGAUUCAGUGGUCUCCAAAAAUGAGGCUUAAGAUGGCUUCAGAGACGAAGGUUUCGCCUCAAAUUAGCUGGUUCAUGUGCACGAUUUCUUUGGAUGAUGUCAAAGGUCAGUACCGUUGGUCGAAUUCGCCUUGGAGGCUUCUUGAGGUCGCGUGGGAUGAACCCGAUUUGCUACAAAACGUGAAAUGGGUCAGGCCGUGGUUAGUUGAGUUGGUGUUAUAUGUGCCAUUGAUUCAUAUUUUGCCGUCUUCGCCUCCAAGUUGAUCUCUAAUCAGCAAGAAGUGUGGUUGACUAAAGUGUAUUUGGUCUAUAAAAAUCCCUCUCCUUUAAAAAAAAGUAUCAUCUCUGUUUUUGGGGGUUAUUAACCCCCAUUCGACCCUUGGUGUUUUAGCGAGUGUUUUAGGCGAUGUCGGCUGGGUUGAACAAUAUAUUUGUGCGUGGAAUGUUGGUAUUCACUGAUUUAGGUGGUGGCUAAUUUGGACGGUGAAGCUACAUCACGAAAACUCCACCGCUUCCCGUUCCAGUCUAUUUGUUUCAUUCAGUUGAUUGCCUAAAUAUACUGUUCUAGCGACUUUUGGGCCUGUCGCCUACCCAGUGAUGAUGGUGUGUUGCUACUUGGUAUGGCAACUCCGGUUGCAACCAUGGCGCCACUGAGCUGGCUAUUCUUAACGACUAUGAGGAAGUGUGCUUCUAACCUAUUUUCCUCUUUUCAACGACCAUGAUGAUGUUUUUAGAUCUGAGUCGAUUGGUGUUGGUGAUUUCGUUUUGCUCACUGAAGUUUAAGGCAAAAUAUUGUUCCAAACUCAUGAUGGCUGUGAUGACUAUGGUAGAAGCCAUUGCUUGGCGUGGCAUAAUUAAGGAGAGUAAGUGUGAUAUUCUCCACUUGCAACCGUUUUGUAGCCACGACGGUCCGAUUGCCAAAUCUGAGCCGAUUCGGUUAAUAUGUUAAAUUAGUUGUAGCUUCCUGAUUGAAAGUGAAUAUGCAUGUUAUGAACUCAAAAGAGGACAAAAACAAGAUCAAUAUCAUUUAUGUGAAGUGAUCAAAAUUUUGUUGUGUUGUUGGAAUAGAAGGGGAUUUAUUGGUAGCUCUGUUUCUUUAGAUUUUAGGUUUGAUAGCUCCAUCGGUCACUGUGGUUUCAGACUUUGGCUCUGCAACGGUUGAUUUCGGAACUGAUUUGGCUAUCAGCACAUAGAAUUCAAUCCGGAGACAUGGAGAUGCAUGCGACAAAUGGUUGAUGAUGGCCUACUAUCCUUUUCGGUUAAACGACGACGAUAUGUGACAACAAGGUGGCUAAUCAAGGCGGCGAUGAUGAUGAAGCCAGCAAGGGCGAGGGAGGUAGAUGUGGCCGCCGCAGGUGUCCACUUUCCAGUAGGCAGUGGCUCAAGCUGGUGGAUAAGGGCUGCAGAUAAACCGUUACAUUGAAGCAUGCUACGUUAGAAGCCAUAAGGGAUCAGGUGCAGGAGCGCAAAUGACAGGAAGUUGUACACUUGUACGCCUAAAUGUCUCAAUUUUGUUCGGUGCAUCUAUAAACAACAGCAUGAUAGAUUAACGACAAACGGUUGUUAAUAUGAGGAAUGCUUGCAACCGUAACUAAUUGAAUCUAAAUUGUAAUGUCGCGCAACGCGCGACAAGAAAUAUCCCUAGUUUAAUAAAUAAAUAAAUAAAUAAACUUCUUCAUUAUUUGUUUCGCGAAAA